CCUACGGGAGGCAGCAGUGGGGAAUAUUGCACAAUGGGGGAAACCCUGAUGCAGCAACGCCGCGUGAGUGAAGAAGUAUUUCGGUAUGUAAAGCUCUAUCAGCAGGGAAGAAGAUGACGGUAUCUGAGUAAGAAGCCCCGGCUAACUACGGGCCAGCAGCCGCGGUAAUACGUAGGGGGCAAGCGUUAUCCGGAUUUACUGGGUGUAAAGGGGGCGUAGACGGUGAGACAAGUCUGAAGUGAAAGCCCGGGGCUCAACCCCGGAACUGCUUUGGAAACUGCCUGACUGGAGUGCUGGAGAGGCAAGCGGAAUUCCUAGUGUAGCGGUGAAAUGCGUAGAUAUUAGGAGGAACACCAGUGGCGAAGGCGGCCUGCUGGACUGUAACUGACGUUGAGGCUCGAAAGCGUGGGGAGCAAACAGGAUUAGAUACCCGGGUAGUC
rnacentral:rRNA from 1 species